CUGACUGCUAUCGGAUUGAUACUAAGCCAUGCGAGUCAUUGUAGCAAUACAAGGCAGACGGCUCAGUAACGCGUAGUCAACCUACCUUAUGGACGGGGAUAACCUCGGGAAACUGAGAAUAAUACCCGAUAGAACAUGAUGCCUGGAAUGGUUUAUGUUUCAAAUAAUUUAUUGCCGUAAGAUGGGACUGCGGCCUAUCAGUUUGUUGGUGAGGUAAUGGCCCACCAAGACUAUUACAGGUACGGGCUCUGAGAGGAGUAGCCCGGAGAUGGGUACUGAGACACGGACCCAGGCCCUAUGGGGCGCAGCAGGCGAGAAAACUUUGCAAUGUGCGAAAGCACGACAAGGUUAAUCCGAGUGGUUUCUGCUAAAGGAACCUUUUGUCAGUCCUAGAAACACUAACGAAUAAGGGGUGGGCAAGUUCUGGUGUCAGCCGCCGCGGUAAAACCAGCACCUCAAGUGGUCAGGAUGAUUAUUGGGCCUAAAGCAUCCGUAGCCUGCUUUGUAAGUUUUCGGUUAAAUCCAUACGCUCAACGUAUGGGCUGCCGGGAAUACUGCAAAGCUAGGGAGUGGGAGAGGUAGACGGUACUCGGUAGGAAGGGGUAAAAUCCUUUGAUCUAUUGAUGACCACCUGUGGCGAAGGCGGUCUACCAGAACACGUCCGACGGUGAGGGAUGAAAGCUGGGGGAGCAAACCGGAUUAGAUACCCGGGUAGUCCCAGCUGUAAACUAUGCAAACUCGGUGAUGCAUUGGCUUGAUGCCAAUGCAGUGCCGCAGGGAAGCCGUUAAGUUUGCCGCCUGGGAAGUACGUACGCAAGUAUGAAACUUAAAGGAAUUGGCGGGGGAGCACCACAAGGGGUGAAGCCUGCGGUUCAAUUGGAUUCAACGCCGGA
rnacentral:rRNA from 1 species